rnacentral:rRNA from 1 species
CGGAAGAGAUAAGCGCUGAAAGCAUCUAAGCACGAAACUUGCCCCGAGAUGAGUUCUCCCUGACUCCUUGAGAGUCCUGAAGGAACGUUGAAGACGACGACGUUGAUAGGCCGGGUGUGUAAGCGCAGCGAUGCGUUGAGCUAACCGGUACUAAUGAACCGUGAGGCUUAACCUUACAACGCCGAAGGUGUUU